GUUGAAGGAGGCCUGGUUGGAGCAUAUCCCAUGACAUUGAGUCCGCUGCAGUUUCACACGUUAGUGUAAAAAGUUGCCUUUUUCCCUGUAUGCACCCAUCUCCCUAAAACCUCAACUUCUCUAUUCCUCAGUGCAUUUCUUCAGCACUUCACAACUCAACUCUCCAUCCAAUGGAUAAUGUGUCUGACAUCCAACUAAGGACUUACUCAUCAUUCGAAUCCAUGGACCAAAUUUGUAUUCCAUAUGAUAUCACUAAGAUUACAAACUCUAGAAUUAACUGUUAAUCAUCAAGGGAUCAACAUUUAGAGAAUAAAAAAAAGAAAGCGCUCUCCUCAUCCCCACAAGUACCAAUGAAGUAUUCUGGGCAUAUCUUGUAGGUAUCCAAUUUUUUAUUUUAACUUUGAUUGUUAAAGUAAGUAUUUGACAUGUAUCUUAUUCAUAUGUAGCAAGUACGGGUUGGAUAUGAGCACCAUUUGCAAUUUGAAUUAUCUUCGAAGUACUGUGAAUAUAUCCAAGAAGUAUUCAAAGCCUUGUUUAUUUUUUAUAUUUUAGCUUUUGAUGUAUUUUACCCAUCUAUAUCCAACAAGUAGUGGGAUACUUGCACAGAAUGCGAUUUGAAUGAUCCAUGUUAUCUAGGCUUUGUAUUAGUCAAGUCAUUAUGAUAGAUAAUUUUCUUUUCUAACAGCUUGACCGGUUAAUAGAUCAUUUAAAUGUAUAGAACCAUUUUCAUGCAUAGUGAUCAAAGAGCAUUAACUAACUUUUAACCUUUUUGACAACCAUGAAGCAACAAGCUAGAACAUUAUUUAGGAAAAACAUGAAUUGGAUAUGUGAUAAAGGAUUUAGCUGCUUGGCAAUUCCCAAACCAUGUCCUGUAUGAACUCUUACAACUCUUCUUGAGUUUUUGUGUUGGGUCUAUUGGAAUUUAUUUUGAUGAUGUCCGGUAAAGUAGCCUAAUUCUAGCUACUUAAGUGUAACUGAACUAGUCGCUGAUAUGUUUGCUGCUUCCAAUUGACCAUGGUUUGCUAAAAGGUUGUGCAUCUGAUAGUGAUUAUUUUGAUGAUUCUAGUACAGCAGAUAAUUACUUUAGCUUUGUCUCUUUACCUACUGGAGAAAAUAAUUGUUGCCAUAUCACGAUUACAACAUUAACUUCAGUUAGAUUAAUUCUUUUCAUAAUUAGAUCUGACUGAAUUUUUUUAUUAAUUUUUCGGUGAUGACAGGAAGCUAUUAUCAAUCGAAUGGAUGUUUUAAAUCCUCAGGUAUGCUUCAUUGAUGCCUUAUGAUGGAUAAGAUAUUUGUCAUAAAGCUUUAUAAAAGGGGAAAAAGGAAAAAAGUCGAAAGGAUGUUUUCUUCUUUCUUGCAGUAUGCAUCUUGUUUUUUUUUUUUCCAUCUUUGUUGUUUUUCUUUUGUUGACUCUUUCGGGGAUAUCAAUAUUUCUACGGAUAGCUAAGCAUAGUCUGAAUAUUGUGCAGAGUUGCAGAAGUCUCUUGGAAAUGAUGGUUCUAGAUAACCACCUUAUGGUGAGGUUGAUGCAUCAAACUACUACAUCUGGUCCUCCAGCGAUAUUCCAAGACCUUUUCCGUUCCAAGUUAUGUAAAUCAGAAUCAGUGUCCCGAAAACAUUUUUUCGCUAAUCCAAUGAGUACACACCUACUUUAAUUGGCUAAUUAUUAUUAAUGUUUUCUCUUAAAGUUUUGUAUAAUUGUUCUGCUUUUUAGUUGGCUCAAGGCAAUGUAGAUAUUAAAAGAUGAUUUGCGUUAUGUUACAAAAGUUUCCAGAUUGCUGCUGCCUUUACCACUACCAAUAAUGAACACAUAAUUCAUGCAAGAUUAACCUGUCAAUUUCUGUCGGUGCUCCGGCAUAUUCUCCCAGUGCCCUUAGGAAUUAGGAUCUCUAUGAUUUCAUGAAUUUGUUACUGUUAUUGGUUGUUAACUGUGUUUUUGAGGGUUAAACCCAUCGAGUUUUAUAAAGAGGGUAGGUGAGAAUAGGAUGUCACGAAGAAGAAAUACAAGAGAAAGGAAAAAGGAGCUACAAGGAGGAAAGUAAAAGUGAAAAAGGCAGCCAAUUUCAAACAAGAAAACCCUUCUAAUUUAGAGUGAAUUUGGUUCGCAUUUGGGAUCGGAAUGGAUUGGAAUAAGUAUAUUUUUUGAUGUAUUUGGUUCGUGACUGGGUUUGGAAUUGGAAGGAAUUUGAAUAUUAGAGCGACUUGGGAUUAGGUUUUGGAGGAUUGGGGCUUUCUAUUUUUUUUCUGGAAUUAGAAUCAAAAUAGGAUUUCUUCUAGCAAAAUGGUUGGAAUGGGAGCCUUAUUAUAAUUUCCAUUUCAGAAUUCAGCUUCCUCCAACUAAACAAUCUGGCAGCUUCAAAAGCAAGAGGCUUGAAUUGCCCAACAAUUUCCAAUCUAGAAGAAAUAAAGCAUUGCCAAGCUGGCCUCCAAUGUCCUUCCUCUCUUUGGGAUGGUCAUGCCAUCUCCUUUUUUGGAAUAUUUUACUUUUUGAUUUUUGGGGAUGUAUUCGUAUUAGAUUUGUGUGACUCAUAGGUCUUAAAAAAGAAAAAAAAAAGAAGCUGGCCUCCAAUGCCCUUCCAUUCUUAGUAACCUUUAAUGGAUUUCCAGAUCAUCUUUGCAAAGGGACAACAGGGGAGUUUGGCUGAUAGUCUGUGUUAGAUUUUCACAGAAAGGGCAUCCAGUGCUAAUAUUUCUCCAUUUCUUUGCUAGGACUUCCCCUUAGCAACCUAAAGAUUUGGGCUGAAAAUUCUGCAAUAUCAGAUCUGUUACUCCGUUCAGUGCCUCUUCUAAGGGCUUAUCCAAGUUCCAGCCUAAAUCCCAACCUAUGGGCUGCAGGAAGGAAAAAAAAUCAAUCGAGAUUUUUUUUUCUUCUCACGGGAUUUAGUCUGGGAGGUAUUUGGUUGAUAGAGCCAUACUAAAUUGGAUGGCUUAAUUCCUAAAUCCAGCAAGAAAUUUAGCUUAAUUCUGUUGAAUUAUCCAAAUGCGCCCUAAAUUUUUCAAAAUAUGUAUUAGGAUGGUACUGUUUCUUCUAUAUUUCAUAGUUUUGGGCAUCAACUAAAGUUCAUCUUGGUUUUGAAUGGUUAUGUAUGCUUUUAUUUCCUAUCAUUUUGUCUUGGAAUUUAUCAUGCCCUAUUGUUUCUUUUCUUGGCUCAGCCUUUUUCAAUCAUUUUGGUCCUUCAUUCUCUUGAUUUCUUUUUGCCUUGUCUCUUAGAUGUUUGAUUCUUGCUUUCUUGUAACCUUCUUACCUCAAUCCCUACUACAGUCAAUGCCUGUUUAUGGCUUCAUUAUUUCUGACUUCACCAUGAUGCCAUGCUUUACUUUGGACAGUUAAAAAUUGGUCUUUUACUCUUAUUACAGGGCAAAUUAUUUUGUGCCUUCCUCUACGGUCCUUGAGCUCUAUCCUUGCUUGUACACUGCCACAAUUUGUUAAGACACUUAAUACUUACACCCUCCUCUAAUAAAAGCGCAUUCUCAUUAGUCCAUCUCCUGCAUAAGAAUAAGAGGGAGCAGUAACUCAAUGCAAUUAUCAAACGGAGAACUGGAGCCAUCAACCUUCCCUUCUUGCUAUCGUCCUUCAGGGCCACUGAACAUGCCCGGCGCUGGUGUAAUUCAACAAUGUUUUAACUUCUUAAGGGUUUUGGCAUGGUCAUCCUUGCUUUGGUCUGGUAGUGCAGAAAAAUCUCUAUUAAUCCUCAUAAUUCUUUCAAUUCUAGCUGUUAUGUGAAAUACUUUUGGCACCAAGAGUGAUAAUUCUGCCUCAAGUUGCACCAACUAAAUGCACUGAUAUUGUCUCAGAAUGUACUACUUUUAAUAUUUGCGGUUUUAAUCAAUGAGCGAUGUAGAUCAAUUAUGUUAGAAUAUCUAGUAACAUGAGUAUUUUUCUCAUACAAUAUCAAAGGGAGGCAAGGAUGAUCAUGAGAAUGAAUAAUUACAUAAAGAUAUAAAAAGAAAUGUUGCCAUGUUAAGCCAAGCCUUCUGAUUGGUACUGCAAAUGAACAAAAUUGUUCAUCCGCAACUCAAAAAAGACAAGCUCAAGCCUUAUUUUGAAGCUUUACUAGUAAAAUAGGCCAACAUGAACUCUCUAAUCUCAGAAAAAAAAUAUUACAGUAACUUUGUUCAUGAUCAUUUAUUAGGAAGGAGCCAAGCUAUGAACAUUUGUUCUAGUAUAUAUCUAUGUGUGUUUAAUUAUAUAUAGGCAUAUUGUACAAUGUGUGUAUAUGUAUGCACACAAAUUAUGUAUAUCAGCCAUUUAUUUGCAUAAUCAACCAUUGUUCAAAGUUAAAGAUUUAGGCUAGCCGAGAAGUAAAAUAAAGAAUGAAAAAAAUAUAGCGACACCUUUUCAAGUUUGAGCGAGAAGCACAUUGACCUAAAAGUUUAAAAAACUUCAGUUGACCUCCAAAAGUUGUUUUUUUGUGUCAAUAUGGUCCGGUCAUCCAUCAUUGUUAGAAAUCAUUAUUAUGUGAUCAUUGCGUGACAAUUUAAUACCUCUGCUAUUUCUGAAAUACCCUUCCUUCUAAUUACAAUUGAGCUUGCAUUUUGGCAAUAAGGGAAGAAAAAUCACAUGGCAGUCGCAUGAUUAUCUUCUCUAACUAUCAGCUAUAAGGGUUACAAUAUCCGGAAUAGGAGGGGAGUGGAAAAAUUUUAUACUUUUUCUAAAUAUUUUUGUACUAAGUUUGAGGGGGUGUCUCUGCAUUUUUCCAGGAUCAAUGAAGUUUAUGAAUUUUGUAUCCAUGGAAAACAUAGGAAUAUAAUUUUAUAUUUAUGAUGUUUAUAAUCUAAAAAUCACAUCUUAGAAUCACAUUUCAGCUAAUAACGAGUCCAAUUUAUUCAUAUGAGAUUUACUCGACACAUUUUGAUUUGGAUGCUCUAGCGAUACUUAACAAGACUUAAUUUGGAUAGCCAUGAUAUUUUAGCCAUACAACUGAGGAAGACAUAUUGGAUGCUACACUUGAAUAAGACUUAAUUUGGAUGGAACAAUUGUUAUAAAGUCACUAAGCACAUUCCAAUUUGUAGAAGAUUGAUUGAGGGGUUGUUAGUAAAGACCGGCACAAGAGUGGCACUAAAUUAGGCUUUAAACUCAGCUAUACUAAACUUUGUACAUACAACUUUAAACUAAUCUCAGCUACACUAAACUCUGUAUAUAUAACUUUGAACCAAUCACAGCUAUACUAAACUCUACACAUACAACAAACUCAGCAGUAUACACAAUUCUAAACCGGUCAUCCAUAUGCAACUCUACUAUAUUAAACACUAAGCUUUAGAAAAUUUAAUCAGACUGUGCUGUACUAAACUCAACACUAAAUUGAACUUUAAACUCAAUACUAAACCAAGCAUAACCAUCCACAUACAAAUCAAAUCACUCAAAGAAUUCCUUGUGACAACAAUUUAAUCAAUUUUAACUCAUGGCAUUUAGAAACUUUGAACUAUUCAAUAUAUAUUACAUUCAAUUCAAAAUACCAUUACUGAAAAUACCAAAAAGACUAGAUUUAAUUCAUAUUUAGCGGCUCAAAAUACCAAAAACACUUGAAAGAUCACAUCACAAAAAACAUUGUGGCCAUCAUAAAAUUAAAAGUAUCAGAAAAGGUGCAUUAUAUUAAAGAUGAGAUAAUAAAAACAAUAUCUAUUGAAACAUAGCGUCAACACAAAGUAUUUGAUGUAUCAAAUUUUCCAAUGUGGUCUUUCAAAUUGUUGGUCAGAGGUUGAGGUUAUGCUCACUCAACUUGCAUCCUUCUGAUUCUUGGAGGUUACAGUUGAGGCUACUCUUGAUAACUCAAAUCUUGUGGCGACAUGUUGCCCCUCCUUGUAUAAUUUUGUUUCUAUACAACAUGAAUAGGUAGAACUAGGCUUAUACCAUUGAUAUACUACCAAGAUUAAAAACUUCUUCUAUGAAGGGGGUUCCCUUGGGAUGCUUGCAGUAAUAUGAUGCUGGGUAUGGCGAGACUAUUAAUAUAUUGCUUGCAGUAAUACUAACAGUUGUGCAGCUGUAUAUCAAAUUUAUUAGAUGGGACAACAACUUGUCCUUUUGCAUUACCCAUCACCUAAAAUUGGAUAUAAAUCUAGCUAGAUUAAAAAAAUGAUUAAGUUAAAACUUAAAAUAUAUGUAAAUGAUUUUAAAUUGAUUUUUUCCCUUCUUGAAAUAGUCCCAUUUCUUGUGCACAUUCAAGUUUCCUUUCCAGGUCAUACCCUUUUAGCACUAGUCCCACCGUAUGGUCUACUCUUUUAUUUGAGCCUCUCUAUUUGCUCUACAGACUUAAGCCUUAGAUAUCUGAACCUUCACAUCCCUCUUCACUCUUACCCUGAAUCCUUUAAUGCUCCAAUUAGUAUCACACUUAUUAUCUUCUACAUAGGUUUGAGAUAACUAUUUGGAUUUGACAUUAUGGUUCUCAAAGUGUAUCAUAUUUAUGUGUAGGCUCAAAUGCUCUUUUAAUCACGUAUAUUUCAACUCUUUACAAGGGGGAAGCAUGAAUCUUACAUCCACUUUUCUUCUUAAAAAUACCUAUGGCCCUAGCCUGUUGAUUGUACUUAUAUAGCCAAAUUCUUUUUGAAUGGAGAAUUGCCUUAAAGCCUUUUCAAACAAAUGUACUGAAGCAAAUAACAUGCCAAGUUUCAACUAUAUAGUCUUACAAGACAUUGGAUUUACCUAAAGCCUAGCAUCCCUAAACCCCUUUAAUGCCAACAUUAGGCCAUGUAGGAUUGCCGAUAAGGCUUGGAAGGCUGUAAGAGGCCAUUAGAUAAGGAUUAUAUCAAAUUGACAUCAAAGAUUGUGGUCCUAAACUCUCUCUAAAACUAACACCAAGCCCUAAACCCCUUUAGGCUUUGCAAUCCAUAUGAAAGACUAUUUGUCCACAUACAAAAAUUCCCUUUAAAUGAAGUACAUAUUUUGAACACCAAAAUAUAAAGAACAUGAAGAUCGCAUUACAAACCCUAACUUAAACUAUACACAUUUUUAAAACAAAUAAUAAAAAAUACCAUAUUGUCAAAAACAAACCAUCAUCAAGGAAGAAAUAUAAAAAUCCCAAAUUUAGAAUAAAGAGCACUUACCCAAAAUAAAGUGCUUUGUGUUCCACGCAGUCUCUUCUUGCUUGAGCACGACCAUACACUAGUUGGUGAAAAAAUUAGAGUUGGAAUCCUCCUAGAAUUGCAAAAAUGCCAUGCAAUGUCGAUUAGGAUGGAGUGCACCAGAAGAUCGCAAUAGUAAAGAAGAAUUAGAUUGGAAUCACAAUAUUUUAAUUGCCAAAAUAGUUAACGGAACCGUAACCCCUUCAAGGAUUAAGUAUCAUAAUUGAUAUGAAAAAUAACUUUUAAGAAUUAAUCGAAACUUUUAAAUUUUUGGGAUAAACAUAUUUCUCGCCCAAAUUUGAAGAAGCAUCACUAUAUUUUUCCAUCUGUAAAUGAUUAAUAGUAUUUUAGCAUUUUUAACCUGUGUAUGAUACUUAGGACCAGAUACAUGGAUGGCUGUUGCGCCAUGUUGACAUUAAAAAAAAAAUGAAGGUCAAUUGAAAUUUUUUUAACUUUUGAGGGCAAUAUAUUUCUCGCUGAAGCUUAAAAAGGUGUUGUUGUACUUAUACAUACACAUUGUAUAAUGUAUAUAUAUAUAUAUAUAUAUACACAGAGGUUGUAUAUCAGCCAUUUACAUGUACGAGCAAUCAUUGUGAUCAGCCGUUGUAUGGAUCUCAAACGGUUGAUGAUUGAGGCUGGCUGAGAAAUAAGACAAAGAAUUAGACCUAAUUGAUGGAACGCAACCCUGUUCAUCCCUCUCCGUCUCCGCUUGGCCUUUCCCCGCAUCCCGCUCGUCCUUCCUCCCGAAAUCCACUCGAUCCCGGCGCUUCUCCUCCAGUCCCAAUCCCUACGACUUCUCCAUCGACCACCAACCACCCUCCUGUUGCCGUGAUGACGAGCCGAACCUGAUCCUAUUUUCCAGUCUCCAGAGCAAUCAAGCUUGCUCCAGACUAAAAAAAUGGCAAAAUUCUUCUUAUCAGCGAGGCGCAUCCUCCUCUCUCGAUCCCCUACAACCCCAUCAAAC
rnacentral:lncRNA from 1 species